rnacentral:rRNA from 1 species
UACGGGGGGGGCAAGCGUUGUUCGGAAUUACUGGGCGUAAAGGGCUCGUAGGCGGCCAACUAAGUCAGACGUGAAAUCCCUCGGCUUAACCGGGGAACUGCGUCUGAUACUGGAUGGCUUGAGUUUGGGAGAGGGAUGCGGAAUUCCAGGUGUAGCGGUGAAAUGCGUAGAUAUCAGGAGGAACACCGGUGGCGAAGGCGGAUCUCUGGGCCUGUUCUGACGCUGAGGAGCGAAAGCGUGGGGAGCAAACAGG